rnacentral:rRNA from 1 species
AAUUCAGACAAACUCCGAAUGCCAAUUAAUUUAACUUGGGAGUCAGAACAUGGGUGAUAAGGUCCGUGUUCGAAAGGGAAACAGCCCAGACCACCAGCUAAGGUCCCAAAAUAUAUGUUAAGUGGAAAAGGAUGUGGCGUUGCCCAGACAACUAGGAUGUUGGCUUAGAAGCAGCCAUCAUUUAAAGAGUGCGUAAUAGCUCACUAGUCGAGUGACACUGCGCCGAAAAUGUACCGGGGCUAAACAUAUUACCGAAGCUGUGGAUUGUCCUUUGGACAAUGGUAGGAGAGCGUUCUAAGGGCGUUGAAGCAUGAUCGUAAGGACAUGUGGAGCGCUUAGAAGUGAGAAUGCCGGUGUGAGUAGCGAAAGACGGGUGAGAAUCCCGUCCACCGAUUGACUAAGGUUUCCAGAGGAAGGCUCGUCCGCUCUGGGUUAGUCGGGUCCUAAGCUGAGGCCGACAGGCGUAGGCGAUGGAUAACAGGUUGAUAUUCCUGUACCACCUAUA